rnacentral:rRNA from 1 species
GACGAACGCUGGCGGCGUGCUUAACACAUGCAAGUCGAACGGAAAGGCCCUGCUUUUGUGGGGUGCCCGAGUGGCGAACGGGUGAGAAACACGUGAGUAACCUGCCCUUGACUUUGGGAUAACUUCAGGCAACUGGGGCUAAUACCGGAUAGGAGCGCCUGCUGCAUGGUGGGGGUUGGACAGUUUCGGCGGUUGGAGAUGGUCUCGCGGCUUAUCAGCUUGUGGGUGGGGGAGUGGCUUACCAAGUCUUUGGCGGGUGGCCGGCCUGAGAGGGUAGCCGGCCUCCUUAGGACUGAGAUACGGACCAGACUCCUACGGGAGGCAAAGGUGGGAAAUAUUACACAAUGGGCGGAAGCCUGAUGCAGCAACGCCGCGUGCGGGAUGACGGCCUUCGGGUUGUAAACCGCUUUCGCCUGUGACGAAGCGUGAGUGACGGUAAUGGGUAAAGAAGCACCGGCUAACUACGUG